rnacentral:rRNA from 1 species
GGAGUUUGGGCCGUGUCUCAGUCCCAAUGUGGCCGUUCGCCCUCUCAGGUCGGCUACUGAUCAUCGCUUUGGUAGGCCGUUACCCCACCAACUGGCUAAUCAGACGCGGAGCCCUCCCAUACCGCCGGAGCUUUUCACACUCUACCAUGCGGUAGUGUGCGCUUAUGCGGUAUUAACAAUCAUUUCUAAUUGGUAUCCCCCUGUAUGGGGCAGGUUCUCCACGCGUUACUCACCCGUCCGCCACUCGGUUAGAAAACUUCCAUCCGAAAACUUCCGUUAACUAACCUCGUUCGACUUGCAUGUGUUAAGCACGCCGCCAGCGUUCAUC